AGAGCAACUGACUUGUAAUCAGUAGGUCACCAGUUCGAUUCCGGUAGUCGGCACCA
rnacentral:tRNA from 1 species